AAGGCGGAUUAUUUAAGAGAUUAAUUGAUUGACGAUAAUCACAGAAGAAGCACCGGCUAACUCCGUGCCAGCAGCCGCGGUAAUACGGAGGGUGCGAGCGUUAAUCGGAAUGACUGGGCGUAAAGGGCACGCAGGUGGUGACUUAAGUGAGGUGUGAAAUCCCCGGGCUUAACCUGGGAACAGCAUUUCAGACUGGGUGACUAGAGUACUUUAGGGAGGGGUAGAAUUCCACGUGUAGCGGUGAAAUGCGUAGAGAUGUGGAGGAAUACCGAAGGCGAAGGCAGCCCCUUGGGAAGAUACUGACGCUCGAGUGCGAAAGCGUGGGGAGCAAACAGGAUUAGAUACCCUGGUAGUCCACGCUGUAAACGAUGUCGAUUUGGGGAUUGGGUGAACACUUGGUGCCCGA
rnacentral:rRNA from 1 species